UUCACACAGGUCUAGCUAAAUAGCUGUUAAAAUGCAGGCAAAGAUACUGGUAACUAAAACAGUAAUCCAGUAACUUAUAAGGUUUUCCUUCUUGUCUAAGACAUAGCUAACUAAUGCAAAUUACUUACAGUAAAGGCAUAUUUGAACUGACAGCACAUCUUACCUCCGCCGAUAGCCUCACUAGUGUUUGUGUUGUUCUCAGUCAAAGGUGGAGACGUCCGAGGUUGUCGUAGAGGCUCACGCUGGUUGAAAACAGAGUUUGCAUCCCCGUCUCCUACAUCUGCGAGUCCGGGGCUUGUUGGCUUUAUACGGGCUCUACCUGCACCUGGGGCUCGGUCGAAAUUCUCAGUCAUCUCUGCUGCUUGUUUGUACUACGGCCUGUCUGGAUAUAGUCCAUGUUGCUUUUGUGGCUGUGGUAACUAGUGACAACCGAACGGAAGCAGACUGGAAAAAAGUCCCAGGAGGACUACAUUGAUCUGAAGCAAAAAAAGAGGACGUGUGUUGGCGAGACACAGACCAUGGUGCUUGCCUACGGAGCUGUGAGGGGAACGGCACUUCAGUACCUCCAGGCUCUGAUCAGGCCCUACACCCAAAUAAGGGCACUGCGUUCAUCCACCUCUGGCCUGCUCGCCU